UGAGCCGGGGCCAGGGGGACGGCGACGGCGGUGUGCACGGGCACCACGUGUGAGGUGAGGCGCCCCCGGGUGAGCCGGGGCCAGGGGGACGGCGACGGCGGUGUGCACGGGCACCACGUGUGAGGUGAGGCGCCCCCGGGUGAGCCGGGGCCAGGGGGACGGCGACGGCGGUGUGCACGGGCACCACGUGUGAGAAAACACUCUCCAAGAUAAAAAAGAAAACAUUCCAGACGAGUCGCGUAGUGGUGUCUCCACGAGACGGACGGCGGAGUCUGUCCAUGUGUUACGGCAUCUGUGCCUGAGAUUGCAGUUUCUUUUUAAACUUUUGAUGUUUUUUUUCUUUGGUAUGAAGUACUUUUAACAUUGUAUUUCAUUGCUAUGUUAUGCUUUCUAUUUUGUAUUGCGUUUUCAUUUUUUUUCCCUCCUUAACUAACCACUGAGUUAGAAUCGGUUUCCCAGAUGGCCCUGGGUGGUAGAGACACCGGCCUGGCGCCAGGCCCUUUACGACGAAGGGUGCUGUGUGGAGACUCCAGCCUGCCUUUCUUCCGUGUUUGUGCACAUCACCUGAAACCAGUUUUGCUGCUAUAGUUCAAUACUUUUAAUCGAUCUGCCCACGUACGUGUUUACCAAAUAACACGAUUAGAACUGUCUGAUGAGGUACCCGUUUAUACUUACGUAGCUGUUUUCAAAGCAGACUUUUAGAGGUGAAUUUACAAAGCCUCUGGAUCCUGGCACUAGAUAACUUUUAAAGCCACUGUGGCAGAGAGCUUGUCACCAGUCUUUCUGCAGUGUUCUCCACUAGGGCUGGUUAUACCAUGCUGCAGAGAAAAUCAUGAGCCAUGAGCUCCACUUUUCUUUUGCAGCUAAGACUCAUACACACAGUGAGAAUCACUGAAACUGUUUUUACUCAACUAAUUUUAAAAAUAACUUUUUAAGAGAAAUUAACAUUUGACCUGUUGAAACCAACCUUUUGUACUUUUAUACUGCACUUUAAUAUAUUUUUCUGUAAUGCGUGUGAGAAGGUCCUCUUCAGCAGUGGAAAUUAGGGUCCCAUGGUAGGCGCGCCUCUGAACCCAGACCUGUCCCCCGGCACCGUCCUGCCCCAAGGCCAUGGCCCUGGAGGCCUCUCUGAACCCAGACCUGGCCGCAGACAUAGUCCUGCCCCAAGGCCAUGGCUCUGGAGGCGUUUCUGAGCCCAGACCUGUCACCAGCCCUCUGCUAGGCUUUGGAGAUUCAAACCCCCUUCCACUGCUUUCUUUUUAAUGGUUUUACAGUGGGAGGCAAAGAGCAGUGAUCAUUUUGUUACGGGCAGACCGUCUCAUCAAUUUUUGCUCAUUAUUUUCUUCAUUUUGUGAAAUACCCAUUUCUGUGUCUUAUGAGAAUGAGACAUUUCACAUCUGUGCUGACGGUCUGGAGCAGGCGCCAGCCACCGAAGCUGCGCAGGGUCUGUCCUCUGUGCCGAGGCCUUGGCCGUCUCCUGUCCUGAUGUGCCUCCUGUGGGGCAUGCCCAGGGAUGCCAAAGCUCCGAGGCUGGCUUCUUCAACAUAUCUGCUGAUGCAGGCAAAUGCGUUCCUAGAAAGUGGUCCUUUAAAGCAGGCAGACCUGAGUGGAAGGAGCAGAGGUGCUGGUUCAGGGUUUUCAUCUUCUGUUUAGUGGGAGGAAUUAAGAAAAUGAUUAACCUGAGGGAGAGAGGAGGGUGGUUUUUGUUUCUGUCUUUUGUUUUGGCCAGACAAGAAAUGAGCUGGUCAAAAUACAU